GACGUCCUACGGGAGGCAGCAGUGGGGAAUAUUGCACAAUGGGGGAAACCCUGAUGCAGCGACGCCGCGUGAGUGAAGAAGUAUUUCGGUAUGUAAAGCUCUAUCAGCAGGGAAGAAAAUGACGGUACCUGAUUAAGAAGCCCCGGCUAACUACGUGCCAGCAGCCGCGGUAAUACGUAGGGGGCAAGCGUUAUCCGGAUUUACUGGGUGUAAAGGGAGCGUAGACGGUGAUGCAAGUCAGAAGUGGAAGCCC
rnacentral:rRNA from 1 species